rnacentral:rRNA from 1 species
CACGUAGGGCGCAAGCGUUGUCCGGAAUUAUUGGGCGUAAAGAGCUCGUAGGCGGCUUGUCGCGUCGGAUGUGAAAGCCCGGGGCUUAACCCCGGGUCUGCAUUCGAUACGGGCAGGCUAGAGUUCGGUAGGGGAGACUGGAAUUCCUGGUGUAGCGGUGAAAUGCGCAGAUAUCAGGAGGAACACCGGUGGCGAAGGCGGGACUCUGGGCCGAUACUGACGCUGAGGAGCGAAAGCGUGGGGAGCAAACAGG